rnacentral:rRNA from 1 species
GGGUAACCUACCCUAUGCUGGGGGAUAAGCUCGGGAAACUGAGAAUAAUACCCCAUAGUCCACUACGCCUGGAACGGUGAGUGGAUCAAAGCUCCGGCGGCAUAGGAUGGGCCUGCGGCGUAUCAGGUUGUAGGGGGUGUAAUGUACCCUCUAGCCAUCUACGCGUACGGGUGUUGGGAGACAUUGCCCGGAGAUGGAUUCUGAGACACGAAUCCAGACCCUACGGGGUGCAGCAGGCGCGAAAACUUGGCAAUGCGAGAAAUCGUGACCAGGGAACUCCAAGUGGCAGGGGUAAGACCCUGUCUUUUUCCGACUCUAAAUAGGUCGGCGAAUAAGGGGUGGGUAAGGACGGUGCCAGCCGCCGCGGUAAUACCGGCGCCUCAAGUGGUAGUCGCUUUUAUUGGGCCUAAAACGUCCGUAGCCGGUCUGGUACAUUCGUGGGUAAAUCAACUCGCUCAACGAGUUGAAUUCUGCGAGGACGGCCAGACUUGGGACCGGGAGAGGUGUGGGGUACUCUCAGGGUAGGGGUAAAAUCCUGUCAUCCUGAGAGGACCACCUGUUGCGAAGGCUCCACACUAGAACGGAUCCGACGGUCAGGGACGAAGCCUAGGGGCACGAACCGGAUUAGAUACCCGGGUAGUCCUAGGUGUAAACGCUGUGGACUUGAUGUCGGGGACGCUCCGAGCGUUCUCAGUGUCGAAGCGAAGGUGAUAAGUCCACUGCCUGGGGAGUACGGCCGCAAGGCUGAAACUU